CGAAACAGCGAUGUGGAGGCAAAUCCCUAAAAAACCGGUCUCAGUUCAGAUUGUAGGCUGCAACUCGCCUACAUGAAGUCGGAAUUGCUAGUAAUCGCGGAUCAGCAUGCCGCGGUGAAUACGUUCCCGGGCCUUGUACACACCGCCCGUCACACCAUGGAAGUUGGUAACACCCGAAGCCUGUAGCCUAACCGCAAGGAGGGCGCAGUCGAAGGUGGGAUUAAUGACUGGGGUGAAGUCGUAACAAGGUAUC
rnacentral:rRNA from 1 species